AUUAAAUUCCAAGUCCAGAGAGCUUGCUUGAGGUAGUUGGAAGAUGCAUGGCUACCCAUACUACUCUGUAAUUCCUCGAAGGUGAAAUUAGUGGAAGUUCCUGUUAGCAAGUCAGCGUGUAUAGCAACUUAGCAUGGGGUUAUUUUUGUCCUUUUGAUUCUUAACCCUAGUUUGCUUGCUUGUAUAUAUAUGUAUAAAUUCUUCUCCCUCUCGAUCCCUCUCUGAUCAAUAAUACAUUCUUCUCUUUCCG
rnacentral:lncRNA from 1 species